ensembl:lncRNA
GAGCAAUCCCAAAACAGCUACUUGGGCCUGGGAAAUGAAAAACAGAGCAGUGGGAGAUGUAAUUAGGGGGAGACUCUCCUGGGGAAAUCAGGAGCUUGGGAUAGGCUAUAAUCUCUAUAGCAGCCAGCCAAUGGGGAAACAGGGGAGGGAAAUUCUAAUGGGGAACAGGGAAUAAAAAGGUGUGCGUCUGUCUGACACCUGUGCCUAUUCCUAGGCCACCCUCCCUUGUAAGAUCACUAAUAAAGCUUUCCUGGCUUCAACAUCCAGUGGUUUCAUUUCUUGGUGAGCAGGGUUCUCACAGUACUGAUCCAGUUACAUUGAAUUCUUACUCCCACACCUCCUAGACACCUCACCUUAAAUGCCUAAUUUUGAAUUAUUUUACAUUGAGUGUGGAUCUGCCCUUAGGGUCAGACAUCCCAAUUAUCCUGCUGGAUCUGACUUAAAAUGAGCCCCAUUCUAAUUUGCGUCAGGAGAAACGUGCUAACCCAGCUGACUGCCUUUUGCGACAGCCUCCGUCCUGAAACUAAGCUUGUUUGGCUGUGAAUCACUUGCUUGCCUGGAAAUCUCCAGAUUGCCUCUUCCUUGCUCUCCCCUCGCUAUCCAGAAAGUCUCUCAUCUUUCCUCCAAUAAGAAAGCGGGUGGCAGAGUGAUGGGGGGAAGGGGGAGAGGAGCUCUCAGAGACGACCAACCUGGUGGGAGGUGGCCCAGGUGGAAUAAGAGCCCUGGGGUGGAGUUUGGAGGCCUGGGAGGGGUCUAGGGCAGGAAGAGGGCUCAUCCCAGGGGCCAAGGCAUUCCAGGUGGCGGAGGGCAGUGCUUGGGGAGGAGAGGCAGGCAGGGGCUGGAGCUACUGGCCCUGAGUGUGAUUGGAGGAAAGGGCCCUUCCUGGGAGCCUCAGAGGCGGGGCAGAGGCUGGGAGGACCCUCCCAGAGUGGGCUGGCUGAAAACAGGAACUUGUGCUCAGAGGGCUCUGCCUUCUCUUACAGCUGUACUAUUUCUUCCUUCCCCAGGAGCUGAGACCUGUCUUCUUUCCGAGGAGCUGAGAUCUCUCUGCCUUCUUUCCCAUGUGCUGAGAUCUCUCUGCCUUCUUCGCCGGGAGCUGAGAUCUCUCUGCCUUCCUCCCCGGGAGCUAAGAUCUCUCCGCCUUCCGGAAGCCAGGACCCAGGACCCAGGUUUCCUGUCUCUCCGCCCCCAGCCUUUGGUUAGAGAUUGCGAUGUUCUGCCUUCAGGCCAAGCUCCCUGUAAGGGCCAGGUCUCCCAUGAGGGAUUCCAAGCCUAAGCUCUACCGGAGGGUCCCAGGAAUCCCCCCCAGCUCCUAGUUAGACCUCAGCACACAGCCAUUCCGCUUUCCCAGGCUCAGUGUCCACCUGGAGCCCUUCCUCAGUGUUCCUGAUCUCCCUGCCAUGAGCUGGCUUAGGAUAUCUCCUUUCCAGACCCUACCUGUGCUCCCCUUUCCCAGGUCUCCUGCUUUCCCUGCCCCCUCUUCUUUCAGAGCCCUCAGGGCCCUGCGGGGAGGGGGGGGGGUGUUGAAUCCCAGACUGGAUUUCUCUCUGUGCCUUAGGCUUUCCCGGGUCAUCCCUGCUGGCUCCAUCCCAGAGCUGUCCCCCAUCCCCAACCUUCCCUCCCUUCUAGGUCAAGC